rnacentral:lncRNA from 1 species
AUGGACGGUGUUUGUGACAUUGUACAGGAGACAGGGAUCAAGACCAUCCCCAUGGAAAAGAAAUGCAAAAAAGCAAAGUGGCUGUCUGGGGAGGCCUUACAAAUAGCUGUGAAAAGAAGAGAAGCGAAAAACAAAGGAGAAAAGGAAAGAUAUAAGCAUGUAAAUGCAGAGUUCCAAAGAAUAACAAGGAGUGAUAAGAAAGCCAUCCUCAGCGAUCAAUGCAAAGAAAUAGAGAAAAACAACAGAAUGGGAAAGACUAGAGAUCUCUUCAAGAAUAUUAGAGAUACCAAGGGAACAUUUCACACAACGAUGAGCUCUAUAAAGGACAGAAAUGGUAUGGACCUAACAGAAGCAGAAGAUAUUAAGAACAUGUGGCAAGAAUACACAGAAGAACUGUACAAAAAAGAUCUUCACGACCAAGAUAAUCACGAUGCUGUGAUCACUCACCUAGAGCCAGACAUCCUGGAAUGUGAAGUCAAGUGGGCCUUAGAAAGCAUCACUAUGAACAAAGCUAGUGGAGGUGAUGGAAUUCCAGUUGAGCUAUUUCAAAUCCUGAAAGAUGAUGCUGUGAAAGAGCUGCACUCAGUAUGCCAGCAAAUUUGGAAGACUCAGCAGUGGUCACAGGACUGGAAAAAGUCAGUUUUCAUUCCAAUCCCAAAGAAAGUCAAUGCCAAAGAUGCUCAAACUACCACACAAUUGCAUUCAUCUCACACACUAGUAAUGCUCAAAAUUCUCCACGCCAGGCUUCAGCAAUACAUGAACCAUGAGCUUUCAGAUGUUCAAGCUGGUUUUAGAAAAGGCAGAGGAACCAGAGAUCAAAUUGGCAACAUCUGCUGGAUCAUGGAAAAAGGAAAAGAGUUCCAGAAAACAUUCUACUUCUGCUUUAUUGACUAUGCCAAAGCCUUUGACUGUGUGGGUCACAAUAAAUUGUGGAAAAUUCUGAAAGAGAUGGGAAUACCAGACCACCUGACCUGCCUUUUGAGAAAUCUGUAUGCAGGUCAGGAAGCAACAGAUAGAACUGGACAAGGAACAAUAGACUGGUUCCCAAAUAGGAAAAGGAGUACAUCAAGGCUGUAUAUUGUCACCCUGCUUAUUUAA